GGCUGCCAGUACCUCUGGGUCGAUAGUCCAUGUGUUGGAUGAUGCACUGCCGUUGAUCAGAACAAGUUAGUAACUUGACCAAAGCUAUGCUUGGAUACAAGACUGAUGACUCAAUAACCAAUAUUGACAACAGUGAAGAUGGUUGUGUCCCAGGGCCAUCAGAGGAAGGCAAUUUCUAUGAAGAAAAUCUGACCGGAGAGAUGUCAGCGAUUCGGGCCAAUGACCAAGGGAAAGCUGGGACAAAAGAGAGGCUCACACAGUGCCAAAGGAACAAAAAGGUAUUGGUCGACAAUAGAGGUGGAUGCAGUUGAUUCCUUGAUGAAUUUUAUCCGAAUGGGAAAAACACCUGGAAAACAAGACUGUGAGAAUUGCAUUGCUGCUUCUCCCAAGCGCUAGUAAACAGGGACUGGAGAGCAGUUAAGUUCUAUGUACACAACAGAAUAGUUGCAGAUCAGAGAAAAUAAGUGUAUGAGAUGCUUCUGGCUAUCUUGGUGUACUUCUGAGGAUUUAAUGGGACUUACUUGACUUAAACUCAUCAACAGAUGACGAAUGUCCUCUAUCUCACUGUUUCGAUCGUCAAAAGGAGUGGAUCAAAACGCAGCGUGUUGAGUGCUCAUAUUUAUUACACUUAAAAAAAGAAUCAAAA